CCUUCUUGCUUCUGCCUCCAGCAAGACCUGGAGUUAUGCAGCACACUGAUUGGCUGCAUCUUUUAUGACGUGGUGCAUCCUCACAGCUAGGCAAGCUGUCCAAUCAGGUGUGGUAGCAUAAGUGCUACGUAAUCCCAUGGAAUCUUGACAUCAUAGUAGUCAACCAGUUCCGUGGUGGAGAGGCCCUAGGAGGGGCUCCAACACUCAGAACUCUGAAUGUAGCCCACGUCCAUUGUUCUCGUACCUUCUUCCAUCGCAGGAAGCUGCUCAUCUAGGACCUCGGGACAUGGUUUUUGAAUGGAUUGUUAAAUCAUUUGUUUGAUCCGUUUCCAAUUUUGAGGUCCCUGCAACCUAAGGGAUGUCUCCCUCUCCUCACCUUCCUGAGAAAUGGACUCAAGUGUACACUGACUGGAGAGGAGGUAGAGAAGAUAAUGUAGCAGUGCUGGGUCAGAAUCCACAGCAAGGUUCAAGCUGAUGCUGCAAGCCUUGCUGGAUUCAUGGAUAUGUGUGAGAUGGAGCAAACAUCAGCAUCAAGCCAACAGGUGAGCAUUUCUGCCUGAUCUUUGACACCAAGGGGCCAUCUUGCUGUUCACUACAUCACAGCAGAAGCCACGUGGUGGCAGACAUGAGCUGGAGGUGGUAUACAAACUGAACACACACUGAAGAGAAUGCGCAGUACAAGCUGUGCAAGGUGAGGAGGAUGACUGUGGGUACAAAGGGAAUCCGACUCCUGAUGGCCCAUGAUGCUUGUGCCAUGCGCAACCCAGAUCCUCUCCUCAAGGUGAUCACGGGAUGGAUUACUGAUUUGGGGCCCCUAUCCAAUUUGACAUGAGGUAAUGAACCUCAGGUUUUCCUGCCCAGGGAUAAGAGCAUCUCUGACUUACAGUGGCUGCAGAGAGAUAAAGCAGUGUAGCAGCUAGAGAGACCAAGGGCUACUCUGCAGUAGGAUGACUUUUUUUUUGAAUUGCUAAGUGUAAAAGAUAGAGUUUUCUAAAUACAUGUACACUUGGCUUCUUAAAAUAUAUAGAAGGCAUUGGGCCUUUUGGUAAAUGUUUUCAUAAGUUGUUAACAUAUAACUGUUCAAUAUUACCUGCUAAGUUUUCACUAAACAGUAAGUUACCAAGGAUAAGAAAUAAUUUUUUAAGAUUUAUUUAUUUUAAUAUUUGCAAAUCAGAAUAACAGAGAGAGGGAGAGGAGAAGGAGAGAGAGGGAGAGAGAGAGAGAGAGAGAGAGGGGUCCUCCAUCCACUGGUUCACUCUCCAGAUGGCUGCAAUGGCUGGACCUUGCAGAUAUCAAGCCAGAAGCCAGGAGUCUCCUUCCACUCACCCACAUGGGUGCAGGGGCUAAAGGAUUCUGGACCACCUUCCACUGCUUUCCUAGGUCAUUAGCAGGGAGCUGGAUUGGAAUGGAGCAACCAGGACUUGAACCAGUGCCCUUAUGGGAUGCCAGCACUCCAGCACUGCAGGUGGAGGCUUAACCUACUAUGCCACAGCACCAGCCCCAAUAAGAAAUAAUUCUAAGUCAACAUCCCAAAGUUUAGAAUUUUUGAAAGAUUUAUUUAUGUAUUUGAAAGGCUGAGUGAGAGAGACAGAGGCAGACAUCUUCCAUCUACUGGUUCAUCCCCAGAUGUCUGUAAUAAUCAAGCACUGGGCCAGACUGAAGGCAGGAGCCUGGAGCUCCAUUCAGGUCUCCUACAUCAGUAGCAGGGGCCUAAACACUUGUGCCAUUUUCCUCUGCUUUUCCCAGGCCAUUAGCAGGGAGCUUGAUCUGAGGUAGAGCAGCUGCAAUAUGAACCAGUGCCCAUAUGGGAUGCCAGCAUCACAGGUGGUGGCCUUACCCAUACAUCACAACACUGGCCCUGACAUUAAAAAUUUUCAAAGUGGGGGGCAGAAUCAUCGGUUAAAUGCAGUCUAUCAUACCUGCAUCCCAUAAGAGUGCUUUUUUAAGUCCAAGCUGCUGCACUUCUAAUCCAGCACCCUGCUAAUAUGCCUGGGAUAUCAGAAGAUGGCCCAAGUGCUGGGACCCCUGCCACACAUGUGGGAGAACCACAUGGACUUCCCUGACUUCUGGCUUCAAUCUGUCCCAGCUCUGGCUGUUGUAGAUGGAUGGGGAGUGAACCAGAUGGACAAUCUCUUUCUCAUUGGCUUUAUUUUCUGGAAUUCUGUCUUUCAAAUAAAUAAAACUAGGAUUUAGUCCCCUAUGUUAAAUCAGUAAAGUUUUUUUUAGAAAAUAUAAAUAAUGAUAAA